rnacentral:rRNA from 1 species
AGGGAGUUUGAUCCUGGCUCAGGAUGAACGCUGGCGGCGUGCUUAACACAUGCAAGUCGAACGAAGCGCAUUGUUUGAAUUCUUCGGAAGGAAGAUAAUGUGACUGAGUGGCGGACGGGUGAGUAACGCGUGGGUAACCUGCCAUGUACAGGGGGACAACAGUUGGAAACGGCUGCUAAUACCGCAUAAGCGCACGAGAUUGCAUGAUCUAGUGUGAAAAACUCCGGUGGUAUAUGAUGGACCCGCGUCUGAUUAGCUAGUUGGUAAGGUAACGGCUUACCAAGGCGACGAUCAGUAGCCGACCUGAGAGGGUGACCGGCCACAUUGGGACUGAGACACGGCCCAGACUCCUACGGGAGGCAGCAGUGGGGAAUAUUGCACAAUGGGCGAAAGCCUGAUGCAGCGACGCCGCGUGAACGAAGAAGUAUUUCGGUAUGUAAAGUUCUAUCAGCAGGGAAGAAGAAAUGACGGUACCUGACUAAGAAGCCCCGGCUAACUACGUGCCAGCAGCCGCGGUAAUACGUAGGGGGCAAGCGUUAUCCGGAUUUACUGGGUGUAAAGGGAGCGCAGGCGGCCCGGCAAGUCUGAUGUGAAAACCCAAGGCUCAACCAUGGGAUUGCAUUGGAAACUGUCGAGCUAGAGUAUCGGAGGGGUAAGUGGAAUUCCUAGUGUAGCGGUGAAAUGCGUAGAUAUUAGGAGGAACACCAGUGGCGAAGGCGGCUUACUGGACGAUAACUGACGCUGAGGCUCGAAAGCGUGGGGAGCGAACAGGAUUAGAUACCCUGGUAGUCCCCU